GGACGGCAGCGGGGGGGCAACUCCCUGCGAGAGUGGCGAACGGGUGAGUAAGACGUGGGUGAUCUGUCCCGGUCACGGGGAUAGCCUGUGGAAACAUGGGGUAAUACCGGAUAAGCUCUGCGGGGUAAAGGCCGCGGAGGAAAGGCGCGUAUGCGCCGGAGAGGGAUGAGCCUGCGGUCCAUUAGCUUGUUGGCAGGGUAAGAGCCUACCAAGGCGACGAUGGAUAGCCGGCCUGAGAGGGUGAACGGCCACACUGGGACUGAGAUACGGCCCAGACUCCUACGGGAGGCAGCAGCUAAGAAUCUUCCGCAAUGGGCGAAAGCCUGACGGAGCGACGCCGCGUGGACGAAGAAGGCCGAAAGGUUGUAAAGUUCUUUUCUUUGCGAAGAAUAAGGGGAGGAGGGAAUGCCUUUCUGAUGACGUUAGCGAAGGAAUAAGCCCCGGCUAAUUACGUGCCAGCAGCCGCGGUAAUACGUAAGGGGCGAGCGUUGUUCGGAAUUAUUGGGUGUAAAGGGCGCGCAGGCGGCUCUGAAAGUCCGGUGUGAAAGGCCGCAGCUUAACUGCGGUUGUGCGCUGGAAACUACAGGGCUUGAGUGCAGGAGGGGGAGCUGGAAUUCCAGGUGUAGGGGUGAAAUCUGUAGAUAUCUGGAAGAACACCGGUGGCGAAGGCGAGC
rnacentral:rRNA from 1 species